AGAUUGAACGCUGGCGGCAGGCCUAACACAUGCGAGUCGAGCGGUAGAGAGGUGCUUGCACCUCUUGAGAGCGGCGGACGGGUGAGUAAUGCCCAGGAAUCUGCCUAGUGGUGGGGGGAUAACGUUCGGAAACGGACGCUAAUACCGCAUACGUCCUACGGGAGAAAGCGGGGGACCUUCGGGCCUCGCGCCAUUAGAUGAGCCUAGGUCGAUUAGCUAGUUGGUGACGGUAAUGGCUCACCAAGGCGACGAUCCGUAACUGGUCUGAGAGGAUGAUCAGUCACACUGGAACUGAGACACGGUCCAGUACUCCUAGGGAGCAGCAGUGGGGAAUAGUUGGAACAAGUGGGACGAAAAGGUCCCUAGACUCCGAGCCAAUGCCGCGUGUGUAGAAGUAACGGUCUACGG
rnacentral:rRNA from 1 species